UGUCAUUGUCUUGACUUAGUCGGCUUGGGCAUCAUAAGAAAAUACCACAGACUGGACGGCUUAAACAACAGGUAUCACUGGAAAAGAAUCACAAUGGCAAUGAAAAUUAUGAAGGACGUGAAAGGCAUCCAUCAGAACCUGACCAUGCCAGCACCUUGAUCUUGGACUUUCCAGCCUCCAGAAUGGUAAU